CGACAGCGGGCGAGGGACCGCGGCGGGGUCACCCUCCGCGCCGUGGGGGCCCCGGUUCGCCUGCACUUGGUGCAAAGGGUCUUACUGUCCAAACAGAAAAUCUUGCGCCAAAAGUUUAUUGUAGUUCCCAGUCUCAGGUAAAUUUCCUGUCACAAGUGACAGUAACGGGGACACAGGCUUGCAAGACUUUCUGCUUUCCUUGGAUAGGGACCUGUAAACUUUCCAGCACCCUGAGGCACCUGGAACUGGCCAACCUUGUAGUAGUUAAUAGAUGAAAAGGUUUCCACCCUGAAGAGGCAGUGCAGAGAAAGGAUGGAUGAAUCAUGGAAGGAGACAGUAUAUCCCUGAGAACAACAGGGACAGGAUGGAGUCGUGGAAUGGGCGCAGUUUAUGUGAUGAUUUCGCUCUCUGGAGAACUAUGCCAGGAGCUGGGAUACACAGUGAACAGAGCUGCCUAAAAAUAAUAAUUUGAUAAGAUAGAGAAAUAGUAUUCUGGACACUCCGCAACAGAAAAGGAUUCAGGUACAAUAAAAGGAUGUUAUCAGCUGAGACUGAUUCACUCAUUUGAGACAAUCUUUCUUAAAAAAGAAGCCUGAUAACACAAAUUUGUGUUUGAACAUCAAGAAACAGCUCUCUCCAUUUUGAAAUACCUUUCUGCUUUUCAUACAUCCCACAGCAAAGCGAACUGUUGUGCUCCAAGGCAGGAAAACACUAAUGGUGUUUAAAUGCU